rnacentral:rRNA from 1 species
GACGAACGCUGGCGGCGUGCCUAAUACAUGCAAGUUGAGCGCUGAAGGUUGGUACUUGUACCAACUGGAUGAGCAGCGAACGGGUGAGUAACGCGUGGGGAAUCUGCCUUUGAGCGGGGGACAACAUUUGGAAACGAAUGCUAAUACCGCAUAAAAACUUUAAACACAAGUUUUAAGUUUGAAAGAUGCAAUUGCAUCACUCAAAGAUGAUCCCGCGUUGUAUUAGCUAGUUGGUGAGGUAAAGGCUCGCCAAGGCGAUGAUACAUAGCCGACCUGAGAGGGUGAUCGGCCACAUUGGGACUGAGACACGGCCCAAACUCCUACGGGAGGCAGCAGUAGGGAAUCUUCGGCAAUAGACGAAAGUCUGACCGAGCAACGCCGCGUGAGUGAAGAAGGUUUUCGGAUCGUAAAACUCUGUUGGUAGAGAAGAACGUUGGUGAGAGUGGAAAGCUCAUCAAGUGACGGUAACUACCCAGAAAGGGACGGCUAACUACGUG